rnacentral:rRNA from 1 species
UACGAAGGGGGCUAGCGUUGCUCGGAAUCACUGGGCGGAAAGCGCACGUAGGCGGCUUGUUAAGUCAGGGGUGAAAUCCUGGAGCUCAACUCCAGAACUGCCUUUGAUACUGGCGAUCUCGAGUCCGGGAGAGGUGAGUGGAACUGCGAGUGUAGAGGUGAAAUUCGUAGAUAUUCGCAAGAACACCAGUGGCGAAGGCGGCUCACUGGCCCGGUACUGACGCUGAGGUGCGAAAGCGUGGGGAGCAAACAGG